rnacentral:lncRNA from 1 species
GCAAGCUUUAUUCUUAUUUGCGUCUGGGCUCCAAGGAGAAAAUGGGGGGUUCCAAGUGCCAGCUUACACAACGCUCUCAUGGAGGCACAGAGACGGUCUCUGCAGCUGUGUUUCUGGGAUGAGAAGUGAAGUCACUGCAAACACUGAGUACAGGAAGAAAGCUGAGGCUUGUCUUCAUCUUGCAAGAUGUCUGGGCACCUAAUGCUUCGGAAGACGUUGGUUCUCAGAAGGUCAUGCCGGCAUCCAGGGGCAAAAUCUGGGUCUGCUUGACCGAGGACUCCGCAAAUCCCAGAGCAGGCCUGAACCGGGAUUCUCUUGAAGUGUAAGUGCUGCACUGUGAACCCGGGAGGCAUUCACUAAAUAUUGUGGAAGAUGACGUGAGUGGAGCCAUAUUAAAAUAGAGCCAGAGCAGCCACUUUGGAGGCAUUGCCUUGCACAUCUUGUUUUCCCUAUCUUGCAAACUGGACCAAAAUGCCAACAUUCCAAGAAGUCAGUAAGGAUAAGAAUAUCCUGUCUGUAAGGACUGAUGAAACUAGACUUUUCUGAUGACUGCAUUGCUAACCAAUCAGUGAAGUACAAGUCUAGCGUUUGCCUGAAGAUCGACCUCAGGUCAAUCUAAGAAGUCGAAAUCCAGCCUCACCUUACCCAACACCAACGCACUCUUCUUUAAUACAGCUCACUUCAUCCUCCCCCUUUGCCAUAAAAACCCUAAGCUCUUCUCCUAUAAUCAGGACACUAUUUGGGUUUGUACGUGAAUCUGUGCUCCCCAAAUUGCAAUUCGUUGAUCCCAAAAAAACGCUUUGCCUCUUAAACUGGUUUCUGUUUUUGUGGGUUGACAAUAUCUUCUUGAAUCUGGGGUCAGGACAUCUGGGUUUGAGGCUUGCAAUUAGUGGCUGUGUGACCCAGGUCGUCAGAUCUUUC